AGUGAACGCUGGCGGUAGGCCUAACAUAUGCAAGUCGAACGGCAGCACAGGAGAGCUUGCUCUCUGGGUGGCGAGUGGCGGACGGGUGAGGAAUACAUCGGAAUCUACUCUGUCGUGGGGGAUAACGUAGGGAAACUUACGCUAAUACCGCAUACGACCUACGGGUGAAAGCAGGGGAUCUUCGGACCUUGCGCGAUUGAAUGAGCCGAUGUCGGAUUAGCUAGUUGGCGGGGUAAAGGCCCACCAAGGCGACGAUCCGUAGCUGGUCUGAGAGGAUGAUCAGCCACACUGGAACUGAGACACGGUCCAGACUCCUACGGGAGGCAGCAGUGGGGAAUAUUGGUCAAUGGGCGCAAGCCUGAUCCAGCCAUACCGCGUGGGUGAAGAAGGCCUUCGGGUUGUAAAGCCCUUUUGUUGGGAAAGAAAUCCAGCUGGCUAAUACCCGGUUGGGAUGACGGUACCCAAAGAAUAAGCACCGGCUAACUUCGUGCCAGCCGCCGCUGUAA
rnacentral:rRNA from 1 species